GUAACCACACAGCAUGGAGAAAAGUGCUGGGAAAGGCACCAGAGAGUGCAGAGUCCAGCUCAGGAUACACCGGAAUCUACCAUAUGUAAAUUUUGCUGCUGCUGUCUCUUUGGAUUUGGGCCAUUUUUAAGAGGUGUAACACUCACUGUGAAGUUCUGUAGCUCCAUUCUUCAAGUUAGCGAGACCACGAACCUGCCGGAAGGAACCAACUCCGGACAUAGCAGAUCAAGAAGGCAGUCAGAAGUGGGCAAAAAAACUUUUUAUGGUUCACUGAGGACAAUCAACUCCUUCACAAUCUAGAACCCGAAGAUUGGAUCCUCUGAGACAUCAGAGAAAGAUUGCUUUAGCCAUCCUCACUGCAGUAAAACUUCAGGACCUCGAGCCUUGGGUUCAUAAUCUCACAACUGAGAAGGGUCCCUCCACACUGUUGAACUGUACACCCAUUGGAACCCUUAAGGUAAAGCUAACCAGGGAAGUUUCUCCCUAAGAAGAAGAUGGCAUCCUUGAUGCAAAAAGCUUUUCCCAACAUCACAGAUCAAGACUUCUAUUAUCAUGAGACUCUUAUCUUUGAAUACUUUUCCCCUUGCUUAUGCCUGUAUGAACAAUACAAGUGGAAAAGGGGUCU
rnacentral:lncRNA from 1 species